UACAGGGGGCGCGAGCGUUGCUCGGAAUCACUGGGCGUAAAGCGUACGCAGGCGGAUCGUUAAGUCGGGUGUGAAAGCCCGGGGCUCAACCCCGGAAUUGCAUUCGAUACUGGCGGUCUUGAGUGCGGGAGAGGUGAGUGGAAUUCCUGGUGUAGAGGUGAAAUUCGUAGAUAUCAGGAGGAACACCGGUGGCGAAAGCGGCUCACUGGCCCGACACUGACGCUCAUGUACGAAAGCGUGGGGAGCAAACAGG
rnacentral:rRNA from 1 species